UACGUAGGUGGCAAGCGUUGUCCGGAAUUAUUGGGCGUAAAGCGCGCGCAGGCGGUCCUUUAAGUCUGAUGUGAAAGCCCACGGCUCAACCGUGGAGGGUCAUUGGAAACUGGGGGGACUUGAGUGCAGGAGAGAAGAGUGGAAUUCCACGUGUAGCGGUGAAAUGCGUAGAGAUGUGGAGGAACACCAGUGGCGAAGGCGACUCUUUGGCCUGUAACUGACGCUGAGGCGCGAAAGCGUUGGGGAGCAAACAGG
rnacentral:rRNA from 1 species